UACGUAGGGUGCGAGCGUUAAUCGGAAUUACUGGGCGUAAAGUGUGCGCAGGCGGCCGCGCAAGUCGAGUGUGAAAGCCCCGGGCUUAACUUUGGGAAUUGCGCUCGAAACUACGUGGCUAGAGUGUGGCAGAGGGAGGUGGAAUUCCACGUGUAGCGGUGAAAUGCGUAGAGAUGUGGAGGAACACCGAUGGCGAAGGCAGCCUCCUGGGCCAACACUGACGCUCAUGCACGAAAGCGUGGGGGAGCAAACAGG
rnacentral:rRNA from 1 species